AUUGAACGCUGGCGGCAGGCCUAACACAUGCAAGUCGAGCGGAGCGGCUGACGGGUGAGUAAUGUCUGGGAAACUGCCUGUUGGAGGGGGAUAAAAACUGGAAAAGGUAGCUAAUACCGCAUACUACCAGAUGAGCCCAUGUCGGAUUAGCUAGGUGGUGGGGUAAAGGCCAACCAAGGCGACGAUCCGUAACUGGUCUGAGAGGAUGAUCAGACACACUGGAACUGAGACACGGUCCAGACUCCUACGGGAGGCAGCAGUGGGGAAUAUUGGACAAUGGGCGAAAGCCUGAUCCAGCCAUGCCGCGUGUGUGAAGAAGGUCUUCGGAUGGUAAAGCACUUUAAGUUGGGAGGCGUUACCAACAGAAUAAGCACCGGCUAACUUCGUGCCAGCAGCCGCGGUAAUAC
rnacentral:rRNA from 1 species